rnacentral:rRNA from 1 species
CCUACGGGAGGCAGCAGUGAGGAAUAUUGGUCAAUGGCCGCAGGGCUGAACCAGCCAAGCCGCGUGAGGGAUGACGGUCCUAUGGAUUGUAAACCUCUUUUGUCAGGGAGCAAAGUGCGCCACGUGUGGCGCUUUGCGAGUACCUGAAGAAAAAGCAUCGGCUAACCCCGUGCCAGCAGCCGCGGUAAGCCGGAGGCUGCGAGCGUUGUCCGGAUUUAUGGGGUUUAAGGGGUGCGCAGGCGGAAUGUCAAGUCAGCGGUAAAAUUUCGGGGCUCAACCCCGUCGUGCAGUUGAAACUGGCGGGCUUGAGUGAGCGAGAAGUAUGCGGAAUGCGUGGUGUAGCGGUGAAAUGCAUAGAUAUCACGCAGAACUCCGAUUGCGAAGGCAGCAUACCGGAGCUCAACUGACGCUCAUGCACGAAAGCGUGGGUAUCGAACAGGAUUAGAUACCCCAGUAGUC